UACAGAGGUCCCAAGCGUUGUUCGGAUUCACUGGGCGUAAAGGGUGCGUAGGCGGUCGGGUAAGUCUGAUGUGAAAUCUCACAGCUUAACUGUGAAACUGCAUUGGAUACUAUCCGGCUAGAGGAAUGGAGGGGAGACUGGAAUACUUGGUGUAGCAGUGAAAUGCGUAAAUAUCAAGUGGAACACCAGUGGCGAAGGCGAGUCUCUGGACAUUUCCUGACGCUGAGGCACGAAAGCCAGGGGAGCAAACGGG
rnacentral:rRNA from 1 species